AACGUAGGCGGCAAGCGUUAUCCGGAUUUACUGGGCGUAAAGGGUGUGCAGGCGGGGUGACAAGUGGUGUAUGAAAUAUCCCAGCUUAACUGGGAAGGGUUAUGCCAGACUGUCAUUCUAGAGUGCGAGAGAGGGGCGUGGAAUUCCGGGUGUAGUGGUGAAAUGCGUAGAGAUCCGGAGGAACCCCAGAGGCGAAGGCGGCGCCCUGGCUCGCAACUGACGCUCAGGCACGACAGCAUGGGGAGCGAACGGG
rnacentral:rRNA from 1 species